CACGUAGGCUGACUAUUAAGUCAGGGGUGAAAUCCCGGGGCUCAACCCCGGAACUGCCUUUGAUACUGGUAGUCUAGAGUUCGAGAGAGGUGAGUGGAAUUCCGAGUGUAGAGGUGAAAUUCGUAGAUAUUCGGAGGAACACCAGUGGCGAAGGCGGCUCACUGGCUCGAUACUGACGCUGAGGUGCGAAAGCGUGGGGAGCAAACA
rnacentral:rRNA from 1 species